rnacentral:rRNA from 1 species
UGGGGGAAUAUUGCAUAAUGGGCGAAAGCCUGAUGCAGCAACGCCGCGUGAGGGAAGACGGUCUUCGGAUUGUAAACCUCUGUCCUUGGUGAAGAAACAUGACGGUAGCCAUGGAGGAAGCCACGGCUAACUACGUGCCAGCAGCCGCGGUAAUACGUAGGUGGCAAGCGUUGUCCGGAUUUACUGGGUGUAAAGGGAGCGCAGGCGGGAAGGCAAGUCAGCUGUGAAAACUAUGGGCUUAACCCAUAGACUGCAGUUGAAACUGUUUUUCUUGAGUGGAGUAGAGGUAAGCGGAAUUCCGAGUGUAGCGGUGAAAUGCUUAGAUAUGACGAAGAACUCCGAUUGGGAAGCCAGCUUACUGUAGCGCCACUGACGCUGAUGCUCGAAAGUGCGGGUAUCGAACAGGAUUAGAUACCCUGGUAGU